rnacentral:rRNA from 1 species
CGGACGGGUGAGUAACGCGUGGGUAACCUUCCUUGUACUGGGGGACAACAGUUAGAAAUGACUGCUAAUACCGCAUAAGCGCACAGUAUCGCAUGAUACAGUGUGAAAAACUCCGGUGGCACAAGAUGGACCCGCGUCUGAUUAGCUAGUUGGUAAGGUAACGGCUUACCAAGGCGACGAUCAGUAGCCGACCUGAGAGGGUGACCGGCCACAUUGGGACUGAGACACGGCCCAA